UGGGGAAUAUUGCACAAUGGGCGCAAGCCUGAUGCAGCCAUGCCGCGUGUGUGAAGACGGCCUUCGGGUUGUAAAGCACUUUCAGCGGGGAGGAAGGCGUUAAGGUUAAUAACCUUGGCGAUUGACGUUACCCGCAGAAGAAGCACCGGCUAACUCCGUGCCAGCAGCCGCGGUAAUACGGAGGGUGCAAGCGUUAAUCGGAAUUACUGGGCGUAAAGCGCACGCAGGCGGUCUGUCAAGUCGGAUGUGAAAUCCCCGGGCUCAACCUGGGAACUGCAUUCGAAACUGGCAGGCUAGAGUCAUGUAGAGGGGGGUAGAAUUCCAGGUGUAGCGGUGAAAUGCGUAGAGAUCUGGAGGAAUACCGGUGGCGAAGGCGGCCCCCUGGGCAAAGACUGUCGCUCAGGUGCGAAAGCGUGGGGAGCAAACAGG
rnacentral:rRNA from 1 species